rnacentral:rRNA from 1 species
GACGAACGCUGGCGGCGUGCUUAACACAUGCAAGUCGAACGGAAAGGCCCUGCUUUUGUGGGGUGCUCGAGUGGCGAACGGGUGAGUAACGCGUGAGUAACCUGCCCUUGACUUUGGGAUAACUUCAGGAAACUGGGGCUAAUACCGGAUAGGAGCUCCUGCUGCAUGGUGGGGGUUGGAAAGUUUCGGCGGUUGGGGAUGGACUCGCGGCGUAUCAGCUUGGUGGUGGGGUAGUGGCUUACCAAGGCUUUGCCGGGUAGCCGGCCUGGGCGGGUGACCGGCCACGUUGGGACUGAGAUGCGGCCCAGACUCCUACGGGAGGCAGCAGUGGGGAAUAUUGCACUGUGGGCGGAAGCCUGAUGCAGCAACGCCGCGUGCGGGAUGACGGCCUUCGGGUUGUAUACCGCUUUCGCCUGUGACGAAGCGUGAGUGACGGUAAUGGGUAAAGAAGCACCGGCUAACUACGUG